AUUGAACGCUGGCGGCAGGCCUAACACAUGCAAGUCGAACGAGUGGCGGACGGGUGAGUAAUAUCUGGGAAUCUGCCUGAUGGAGGGGGAUAACUACUGGAAACGGUAGCUAAUACCGCAUACCAUCAGAUGUGCCCAGGUGGGAUUAGCUUGUUGGUGGGGUAAAGGCUCACCAAGGCGACGAUCCCUAGCUGGUCUGAGAGGAGGACCAGCCACACUGGAACUGAGACACGGUCCAGACGCCUACGUGAGGCAGCAGUGGGGAAUAUUGCACAAUGGGCGCAAGCCUGAUGCAGCCAUGCCGCGUGUAUGAAGAAGGCCGUCGGGUUGUAAAGUACGUUCAGCGGGGAGGCGUUACCCGAAGAAGAAGCACCGGCUAACUCCGUGCCAGCAGCCGCGGUAAUUC
rnacentral:rRNA from 1 species